rnacentral:rRNA from 1 species
GACGAACGCUGGCGGUGUGCUUAACACAUGCAAGUCGAACGGAAAGGCCCUGCUUUUGUGGGGUGCUCGAGUGGCGAACGGGUGAGUAACACGUGAGUAACCUGCCCUUGACUUUGGGAUAACUUCAGGAAACUGGGGCUAAAACCGGAUAGGAGCUCCUGCUGCAUGGUGGGGGUUGGAAAGUUUCGGCGGUUGGGGAUGGACUCGCGGCUUAUCAGCUUGUUGGUGGGGUAGUGGCUUACCAAGGCUUUGACGGGUAGCCGGCCUGAGAGGGUGACCGGCCACAUUGGGACUGAGAUACGGCCCAGACUCCUACGGGAGGCAGCAGUGGGGAAUAUUGCACAAUGGGCGGAAGCCUGAUGCAGCAACGCCGCGUGCGGGAUGACGGCCUUCGGGUUGUAAACCGCUUUCGCCUGUGACGAAGCGUGAGUGACGGUAAUGGGUAAAGAAGCACCGGCUAACUACGUG